rnacentral:lncRNA from 1 species
AAACGUUUGGUUGGGUGGCUUAAACAGCAAACAUUUAUUUCCCACAUUUCUGAAGGCUGGGAAGUCCAAGAUCAAGCACUGUAGGCUGUCUGCUCCAGGAAAAGUUAAAUGGCAAGAAUUAUUGGGAAGAAAAUCAAUUUCAGACAGGCAGGCCUCAUGAAGUUUGCAAUAUCAUGAACUGGCUACAGAGGAAGAAGUGAAGAUGUGAGUCAGCCUGGAGUUCAUCCCACUUCAACUUCAAUUAUCUUUGGGACGUGGACAACAGCCUCGGCAGCUAAAAGAAGAAAGUGCAGGGGUGGAAUAAGAAACUUGAUCAGAGCAGUUAAAAUCCAUGAUCCUUCUGGGGUGAAUGGCAGAGGAAACUGACCAGAGGCAGACAAAGGUCUUGUUGAGUAGUUUAAAUGGCCCAUCUGAAGCCAAAGACCAUUAAAAUGAUCCUGGUACCAAGAA